rnacentral:rRNA from 1 species
AUUGAACGCUGGCGGCAGGCCUAACACAUGCAAGUCGAGCGGAUGAAGGGAGCUUGCUCCUGGAUUCAGCGGCGGACGGGUGAGUAAUGCCUAGGAAUCUGCCUGGUAGUGGGGGAUAACGUCCGGAAACGGGCGCUAAUACCGCAUACGUCCUGAGGGAGAAAGUGGGGGAUCUUCGGACCUCACGCUAUCAGAUGAGCCUACGUCUGAUUAUCUAGUUGGUGGGGUAAAGGCCUACCAAGGCGACGAUCCGUAACUGGUCUGAGAGUAUGAGCAGUCAACCGCGCACUGUGGCACUGUCCAAACUCCUCCGGGAGCUACCCAUUGGCAAUAUCAGACUAUUCGCGAACGCCUGAUGCAGCCAUGCCGCCUGCGUCAUGCAGGUCUCCGUAUUCUAAAGCACCUCCAUUCAUGCGAAAGGACAGUAAGUUAACCCCGUGCUGGUUUGACUUUACCAACUGCAUAUGCACGCGCUAACUUCGUG